rnacentral:rRNA from 1 species
UACGAAGGGGGCUAGCGUUGCUCGGAAUUACUGGGCGUAAAGGGCGCGUAGGCGGACAGUUUAGUCAGAGGUGAAAGCCCAGGGCUCAACCUUGGAAUUGCCUUUGAUACUGACUGUCUUGAGUUCGGGAGAGGUGAGUGGAAUGCCAAGUGUAGAGGUGAAAUUCGUAGAUAUUCGGCGGAACACCAGUGGCGAAGGCGGAUCUCUGGGCCGUAACUGACGCUGAGGAGCGAAAGCAUGGGGAGCGAACAGG